rnacentral:rRNA from 1 species
GACGAACGCUGGCGGCGUGCCUAAUACAUGCAAGUAGAACGCUGAAGAGAGGAGCUUGCUCUUCUUGGAUGAGUUGCGAACGGGUGAGUAACGCGUAGGUAACCUGCCUGGUAGCGGGGGAUAACUAUUGGAAACGAUAGCUAAUACCGCAUAAAAUUGAUUAUUGCAUGAUAAUUAAUUGAAAGAUGCAACUGCAUCACUACCAGAUGGACCUGCGUUGUAUUAGCUAGUUGGUGAGGUAACGGCUCACCAAGGCGACGAUACAUGGCCGACCUGAGAGGGUGAUCGGCCACACUGGGACUGAGACACGGCCCAGACUCCUACGGGAGGCAGCAGUAGGGAAUCUUCGGCAAUGGGGGGAACCCUGACCGAGCAACGCCGCGUGAGUGAAGAAGGUUUUCGGAUCGUAAAGCUCUGUUGUAAGAGAAGAACGGGUGUGAGAGUGGAAAGUUCACACUGUGACGGUAGCUUACCAGAAAGGGACGGCUAACUACGUG